AUUGAACGCUGGCGGCAGGCCUAACACAUGCAAGUCGAACGAGUGGCGGACGGGUGAGUAAUGUCUGGGAAACUGCCUGAUGGAGGGGGAUAACUACUGGAAACGGUAGCUAAUAACGCAUACCAUCGGAUGUGCCCACAUGGGAUUAGCUAGUAGGUGGGGUAAAGGCUCACCUAGGCGACGCUCCCUAGCUGGUCUGAGAGGCUGACCAGCCACAAUGGAACGGAGACACGGUCCAGACUCGUACGGGAGGCAGAAGUGGGGAAUAUUGCACAAUGGGAGCAAGCCGGAUGCAGCCAUGCCGCGUGUGUGAAGAAGGCCUUCGGGUUGGAAAGUACUUUCAGCGAGGAGGCGUUAGCCGCAGAAGAAGCACCGGCUAACGCCGUGCCAGCAGCCGCGGUAAUUC
rnacentral:rRNA from 1 species